AAUGAUCUAAGCUGUAGCACAUGGUGUGUCCCUCACACGUCAGAGUAGAGCACACAGCCAAUAUGAAUCUUUACCCAUAUGCUUCAUAAUUACAACUGGUAGAGGUACAAUCAGCCUUCUCUAUGCACAGCUGCGAUCACAUUGGUGCCUGUAAAAACAGAACGGCGCCUGAGCUCUCUGUGCAGCCCCACCUGAUUCAACACUGCUGUGUCUUCUUUGGUGGGGCGGAAACUGGAUAGUUUGUAUUCACAACAGGUGCACAGAUCAGGGACUGGGGCUUGCUGACUUCUGCUCCUUGUUCUGUAUGAACACUACUAGAACCUUCUGAGACAAAUAAGCUGUGGAAUCCUACCAGGAGAAGAAAACCCUCACAGGGGCUUCGCAUGUCAAGAUGGGUACUGCUGAAUGAAGAAUGAAGUAUUAAGAGAGCACUGGGUGAUCUCCUGAGAUUAAAAAACAAACUGGCAUAGCUAAUUAAGGCUUUAUUAAUCAGUAAUAAAAAUCACAAGAGGAGGGGUUGGGGAUUUAGCUCAGCGGUAGAGCGCUUGCCUAGCAAGCGCAAGGCCCUGGGUUCGGUCCCCAGCUCCGAAAAAAAGAACCAAAAAAAAAAAAAUCACAAGAGGAAAAAUUUCUUGGGAUCAGGAGUGGAGUUCAAUAGUAUAGUUCUUGCCUAGGAUUCACGAAACCCUGGUACUGAAAAGGAAGGAGGGAGGGAGCGAGGGAGGGAAAUGUCUUCAUAGCUUUGUGAACUCUUGUCCUUUGGCCCAGGAGUAUAAAAUGCUGUCCCAUUGAUUCCUCCUUUGUUGCAGGAUCACACAUUUUUACCAUCGAGGAGCUGAAGGUUGGUUUCUUUAGCAAUGACUCAGUUCAAACCCACGGGGUAGGUGGGGUUCUCACAUGCAAGUGAAAGUUGGAGUUUGACGAGUAACCUCCUGCCUCUGUUCAUCUGCACAGUUGCGUACCCUUCAGGUUUAUGAUGCUCUCCUCUAGGCACUGAAAGGGUUACUCAUGUCUCCUGUUUCUCCUGUGUACAAGGUUUGGGUUCUACUGGAAGAGCUCUAAGCCAUGCACCAGGCACGGCGGCACAUGCCUUUAAUUCCAGAACUUGGAAGGCAGAGGUAGAACUCAUGGUGCCUGGUGUACACUGUGAGUUCCAUACUACCCAGAAUUACAUGGUGAGACCUUGAGGGUAAAUAUAUAAAGAAACAUAUAAAUGAUCCAAGCCAUCUACUGAACUCUAAAAGAGGCAGGAAGUCGUGUUUUAUGCAACAUAUUUUGUGUAGCUCAAUGUAUUUUGUGUAGCUCACAUUUCUUUUCCUAUUUUCCUACAGGAUUCUUGAGUGUAAAUUGUAUUUCUAAAGAUGCUUCUAAAUGGUUGCUUUUUGGGGGAAUCUCCCUCCAUUUCUAGGGCACUGAACUAAUUUCAAAUCAAAUUGUGGUUAGAAUAGUGUGCGGAACAAAGAGGCAUUCGUGCCACAAAGCAGCUCCUAACAAAUGCCCACGUGAUUUCUGGGCCCUCCAACCUGGAGUUUUCUAAAAUAAUCUUAUUUUUGUACUUGUCCAUCCUGCUAAGAUGUAUACCACUGAAAAGGAGCGAGGUGUCUGACUCAGUCUGAAUAAAUAACACUUCCUACUUGGGUUC
rnacentral:lncRNA from 1 species